UACGAAGGGGGCUAGCGUUGCUCGGAAUUACUGGGCGUAAAGGGCGCGUAGGCGGACAUUUAAGUUAGAGGUGAAAGCCCAGGGCUCAACCCUGGAAUAGCCUUUAAUACUGGAUGUCUUGAGUUCGGGAGAGGUGAGUGGAAUGCCGAGUGUAGAGGUGAAAUUCGUAGAUAUUCGGCGGAACACCAGUGGCGAAGGCGACUCACUGGCCCGAUACUGACGCUGAGGCGCGAAAGCGCGGGGAGCAAACAGG
rnacentral:rRNA from 1 species